AUGGAGAUGAAGAAGAUUGCCUGCGCCGUCCUCAUCGCCGCAUCGGCGACCGUUGCCCUCGCCGCCGAUGGUCCGGCCCUUGCCCCGGCAGCCUCCGCAGCAACCGGCGCCUUUCCGGCCGUCGGCGCGGUGCUCGGCGCCUCCGUACUCUCCUUCUUUGCUUACUACAUGCAGUAA
rnacentral:rRNA from 1 species